CGGCUUCCUUCAGAGGCUGUUUGAACUAGCCCCCCACCCCCCUGCCCACACAUUUCCUGAUUCGAGGGGCUAUUCCCUGGACGCAGCCAAGCCGCUCACUCGGAAACAGAGCCACCAUGAUUGAAUGAUGCUACUAACAAGAAAGGGAUACAGCCUUGAGCCGAAUGGUCUCCUUUUUCAAUCACAGGGAGAGGAAGGUGGUGAGCAGCGAGCUUGGGGACGUGAUCUCAUCCGACAACAUCCAACUGAGGUAGGAAGGCACGUUGUAAUUGGUCCUUUCUCUUUCACCACAUGUGUGAACAUUAGGAAGAGAAUCUUAAGGUCUCCAGCACCCCUUCAAGUAUUCUUUGGGAACCUACACUGGCUGAGAACUUCUAAGUGGCUGAACUGUUACACCCAUGGAUUAAUCAAGAAGCAUUUAUGAAGUGACAACUAUCAUGUAAUAAUAGUGACUAUUAUUAUAUAUUGUAUAUAAUAGUGACUAUCCAAGCAUUGUGCUAAGUGAAAUGGAACAGACAUAGACCCAAGGAUGAGCAGUUCCCAAGAUCAGAUCCUGCCUCUGGCACUUACUCUCUAUAACUAUAGGAAAAUCAGUUACUCCAUUUAGUUUUGUUUCCCUCCUCUGGAAGAUCUGGGUCAUAAUAUCUGUGGUAUUUAACUCCUAGACCCUUAUGCAGAUCCGGUAAUAUCAUGUUCAUGAAGUACUUUGCAAACCAAAAAGCAUUAGGCAAACAACGGUUCUUAUUAUGAACAUGGCACAAUCUUAUAGAUUCAGGAAAAUGUUAUCAGAGAGGGAGAAAACUCUGGGCUGCCAGAUGGGGACAAGGAAGUGAGUUCCUAAAUCCUCAGUUGCUUGGUUUGGAUUUUUCACUUCUUUCCCAGUUCUGUGGAAGGAGGAGAAUAAACUCUACCUUCCUGGGAUGCUGGGAGAAUUUAGGGACUAGAGGCACAUGUCCCGGGCCAGCCCAGCACAUCCCUGACCAGGGCUCCCUUUGGCUAAAUCCCUGUUUUAUUGUAUCUGGCCAGCUGGAUGGUCUUGGCCAUGAUAUUUCUCACAGCCCCUCAGUUUCUUCCUGUGUUAAAAGAAAAGAGAGAAAGACGCUCUCAAAUAGUGUCCAUGAUUUUCCAAUUCUAAGGUUCUAGAUUCUAAAGUCCUUCCAGUCCUAGGUUCUAAGGUCUCUCUCAACUCUGUUUUUCAUGCACUAAGAUCCUUCCUAAUUCAGCUAUUCCUUGUUCUAAGAUCCCUUCUGCUCUAUCAUUUCAUGUUCUAAGGAGGCAAGGAAAGAAGCAAGGAUUUACUAGCAAAUUUACUAAUUUACUAAAAGGUCUGACCUGCCAUGUUUUAAGGCUCCUCUCAGCUCUCACAGGAGAUCUUGAUUGUGUGUGUAUAAGUGUGUAUUUGUGUAUAAGUGUGUGAGGGUGUGUAAGUGUAUGUGUGAGUGUGUAUAAGUGUGUGUGUAUUUGUGUAUAAGUGUGUGUGAGGGUGUAUGUAUUUGUAUAUAAGUGUGUGAGUAUGUAAGUGUGUAUAUUUGUGAAUAAGUGUGUGUGAGUGUAUAAGUGUGUGUAUUUGUCUAUAUGUGUGUGUGAGUGUAUAAGUGUGUGUGAGUGUGUAUAAGUGUGUGUGUUUGUGUGUAAGCCUAUGUAUUUGUAUAUAAGUGUGUGAGUGUGUAAGGGUGUGUAUUUGUAUUUAAGUGUGUGUGUGUGAGUAUAUCUUGGGUCCUUUUGGCAUUCUGGUCUCUGGACUCCUUCUUAAGUAAAUGAAAAAAAUAUUAAAUUGCAAUUAGAGGUAAGUUGUAGAAGUCGUUGUUGAGGGAGAUUCCCAGAUCUAGCCGUCCGCCCACUGGAGGAGCCCUGCCCAAGUGUGCCUGAGGUCCCUGCCAGCCCUGCCAUGCUGUGGCCCCAGCUCCCUUUCCAAACCAGCAGAACCUAGGCUCUAAGGUCCUGGAAUCCUGGGCUUCCCUGUUUCAGUUAACUCACUUUGUAAAGGGCACAUAGCUUAUAAUCAGGAAACCCAGACCUUCUUUGGUUUCUAAGGCUGAGGUGUUCUUGAAAGUUGUACAGGGAAAAAUAAUUUUAAAAGUCCAUUUUCUCAUUGACAUGUGGGAUAAAGUUGUCAGUGGAUCCUAUGGGAGAAGGGGGUGGCUCCCUCCAGAACACAAGCUAAAAAUCGUGGGCAGAGAAAAGGUCGAACCAAAGACUAUCCCCAUGGCACGAGGGUCGGGGCUUGGGGUUUCUCCUCCACUUUAUCUCCUGCUUUCUAUUUCCUGAGGGUUUAUAAUCCUCACCAGCAGCUCUCCAUGAAGAGACAGGGAAGAAGCACGAUUUCUUUUUAAAAAUCCCAUCUACUAAAUUUUGUGUGGGAGGAUGUCCAGCUCUCUCCUUGGUAGUAACUUUGGGGUUGGGCCAGAGCUGGACCCCUGAUCUGAUUCCAGCAUCACCGCAUGCAUGUUGAGGGGGGGACCACAGGGAAUUGAAAUAGUCAUAUCUGGCAGAGUUCAGAUGGCACAUAGACAUAUUUUUUCUUCUUCUAGGACAUUUUCGUAAUCCUGCAACUAGUUUAUUUUUUAAUAAAAUCUGGC
rnacentral:lncRNA from 1 species